rnacentral:rRNA from 1 species
GAUGAACGCUGGCGGCGUGCCUAAUACAUGCAAGUCGAGCGAACAGACGAGGAGCUUGCUCCUCUGACGUUAGCGGCGGACGGGUGAGUAACACGUGGAUAACCUACCUAUAAGACUGGGAUAACUUCGGGAAACCGGAGCUAAUACCGGAUAAUAUAUUGAACCGCAUGGUUCAAUAGUGAAAGACGGUUUUGCUGUCACUUAUAGAUGGAUCCGCGCCGCAUUAGCUAGUUGGUAAGGUAACGGCUUACCAAGGCUACGAUGCAUAGCCGACCUGAGAGGGUGAUCGGCCACACUGGAACUGAGACACGGUCGAGACUCCGACGGGGGGCAGCAGUAGGGAAUCCUCCGCAAUGGGGGAAAGCCUGACGGAGCAACGCCGCGUGAGUGAUGAAGGUCUUAUGAUCGUAAAACUCUGUUAUUAGUGAAGAACAAAUGUGUAAGUAACUAUGCACGUCUUGACGGUACCUAAUCAGAAAGCCACGGCUAACUACGUG